AGAACUUCUGAGCAACGUGGCAGCUGCCGGGACCGGGCCUCUGAGUGCAGAGAGCAGGCGUUGCCAGGAGCGGACUCAGACAGUGGAGGCCCCUCGCUGACCCUCUCCGGGGCCACUGCAAAGGAAGAAGAAAAGCACAGGCAUCAGCUUCAACAAUGCAAAACAAAGUAAGCUUGAAUUCAGAUGAGGGGCAGUUAAAAUCGCAGCCUAGAAGUCCAAGUGUGGUUUGUAACACUCCAAACCCCAUGUCAGCCUUCAGUGAUUGUUCUGCUGACCAUGUUGCUACAGAGCGGCUUGGGUUUUUCCUUGUGGCAACUCCCCAGGGUGACAGAUUAUUCGGCAAUGUCACCAUUUUGUAGAUGUAUUCGGGAUUUCCAGCCAUAAGCCAUGGAUGAUAUUGGGGAUCCUUUAUUCCUGGUGGGUGCCCAUAAGAGUUUGCAAACUAUACCCAAAAGGGCACGGGAACCCCUAAACUUUCCAGGCUGUCUUGGCACACGGCUCACUAGAACUGUUAACGCCGUCAAAGUAUCUCUGACACGUCCUUAGCCUGUGUUUGAAAACCUGCAGAGAUGGGAUACGCCCCUUUACCAGAGACAGUGCAUUCCGUCCACUGGGAGUGACACACGGCCAAGCCAGGCUUCAAAGAGAGAGGUUCACCGUAUUCCAGUAGUGACUACUGGGAUUUAGGGUUGGAUCACCUUACCAGAGCUUGGAAGCUGCUAGAAGUUAACAUUAAUUUUAUUGUUCUUUAAAAUGAAAGUCCAGCAGGAGGGCCAGGAUUUGGGCAUCUCGGUCCUUCACGAAAAGAAAGGGUGAUGUUGAUUAGCCAUGUUCCACAUCCCCCGAGUUAAAUAUAGGAAUAGUUCUGACAUCUGACUCAAGAAUGUGUUUUCUUGCAUGAUAUUAAGGCAGAUGCACAGAUCCACGUAGAUUAAUCCCCUUCACUAGUAGCAGGGGCCCGAUGAGGUAGCUGAUGAGGAAGAGCCCCCGAGACCAGGCCCAGCGUGGGGCCACGGCCUUGGGAUCUGGACGACACCCCAGCGGUUCUGUGCCGCCAGCAGGCCCUGCCGCAUCUCUGGGCUGGAGCCCUGA
rnacentral:lncRNA from 1 species